GCCCUGGUGGUGGAACUGGUAGACACAGCAGACUCAAAAUCUGCCGAAGAAAUUCGUGCCGGUUCGAUUCCGGCCCGGGGCA
rnacentral:tRNA from 7 species